CUGGUGUGAAAAAUGUGAUUUAGGUUAAUAUAUCCAGUGUGAAAAAUCUGGAAACAAAGUGAUCCCUCGGAAGCAUUAAUCACAACAAAAUUACAUGAAAAUUACAGACCCAGGUUUUAUUGAGUCUGUACAUGAGGGAUAAUGAAGAAGUGCAACAUCCCUCACGUCCCCUAGCAUUGGCUUGAGCAGUACUCAAUUCUCAACACUUAAUUGUGCUGGCAUCACUAUAGGUCACUAAAGAUGAUAGUCAAGGUCACUAAAGAUAAUGAAAUAUGAAGAUUUUGUCCAGAGCAUAUCUCCUACAUAUAUGGAGGGAUUCUAAUUAAACUUCAUACAAAUGUUCACCACUUUGAAAAGCUGUUCAUGCAUACAUGUUUGAACUAGGUAUCCAGGUCUAAGGUCAAGGUCACACUUAGAGGCCAUUGAAAAACGCUUUAAGUAUCUACUUCCAACUUCAAAUAUAUAUAUAUUUCUUAUCAUUACACACAUGUUUUGUGACAAGGUUCAUAACUCUAGUGUGACUAUUUCCAAAAUUAUUCCCCCUUGAACUUGGAAUUUAUGUUAAAAAAUGUUAUUUUUUACUGUAACUUCUUGUCAUAUGGAUAAGAGUUAUAAAAUGCAAGACCCUGUAUUCCCAGAAUUUAUUUCUCCAUUUAAUUUUUGAACUGUGUUGCUUUUAAUAGCAGUAGGCCUACCAGAAAAUGUAAAAACCGUGAUAUCGUAGAACCCGUGAUAUAGGAACCGAGUAUACUCGUCUCAGAGCUAGGUAUCUGUGCUCACAAAAGUUUUCAGACGGUGGAUUCGUUAUAUUUUUUUCUAUUAUUGCAGAAAGUGACGUUUCCGCAAAUAAGUAGAAUCGCCUGAAAAGAAUAGUUCUUACCAUCUGUCAAAUUUGAGAAAAAUAAUCAAGCACUACUAUCAAGGGAGACUACUAUUAUAUAAACAAACAAAAUGGAGUUCGACCAAAGAGAUCAUUUAAGGUUCAAAUCUAUCAAAGGGUCAGUUUUUGUUGGAACGAUUUUAACUGGACUUGGUUUGGCUACGUAUUUUGCAAUUAUCAAGCCAUUAUUUAUUGAACCAGAGAAGUAUAAAGCAAUUCAGGAAGUAACCAGAAAAGGCAUUGACCAGAGUAAAAUACAGCCAGGAG